rnacentral:rRNA from 1 species
AGCAUAUCAAUAAGCGGAGGAAAAGAAACUAACAAGGAUUCCCCUAGUAACUGCGAGUGAAGAGGGAAGAGCUCAAAUUUGUAAUCUGGCGGUCUUUGGCCGUCCGAGUUGUAAUCUAGAGAAGUGCUUACCUGCACUGGACCAUGUACAAGUCUCCUGGAAUGGAGCAUCAUAGAGGGUGAGAAUCCCGUCUUUGACAUGGACUGCCAGGGCUUCAUAGGUGCGCUCUCAAAGAGUCGAGUUGUUUGGGAAUGCAGCUCAAAAUGGGUGGUAAAUGCCAUCUAAAGCUAAAUAUUGGCGAGAGACCGAUAGCGAACAAGUACCGUGAGGGAAAGAUGAAAAGAACUUUGGAAAGAGAGUUAAACAGUACGUGAAAUUGCUGAAAGGGAAACGCUUGAAGUCAGUCGCAUCAGUUGGAAAUCAACCUUGCUUUUGCUGGGUGUACUUUCCGUCCGAUGGGUCAGCAUCAAUUUCGAUCGCUGGAUAAGGUUCUUGGGAACGUGGCAUCUUCGGAUGUGUUAUAGCCCUUGGACAUACGCAGCGGUUGGGAUUGAGGAACUCAGCACGGGCCGCGAGGCUUUUUGGGACUUGUCCACAAUACGUGCUUAGGAUGCUGGCAUAAUGGCUUUAAUCGACCCGUCUUGAAACACGGACCAAGGAGUCUAACAUGCUUGCGAGUGUUUGAGUGGAAAACUCAUGCGCGUAAUGAAAGUGAUAGUUGAGAUCCCCGUCGUGGGGAGCAUCGAUGCCCAGACCAGACCUUUUGUGACGGAUCUGCGGUAGAGCACGUAUGUUGGGACCCGAAAGAUGGUGAACUAUGCCUGAAUAGGGUGAAGCCAGAGGAAACUCUGGUGGAGGCUCGUAGCGAUUCUGACGUGCAAAUCGAUCGUCAAAUUUGGGUAUAGGGGCGAAAGACUAAUCGAACCAUCUAGUAGCUGGUUCCUGCCGA